rnacentral:misc_RNA from 1 species
GUUUUUGGUAAAAAACUGGACUAUUCUCACAUUUAUAGCUUCACAAUAGAUUCAAAAAGGCGACAGUGCACAACUGAGCCAAAAUUGAAGGGAAGGAUUACCAGCUACAAUUGAACGGAAGCCGUAAAUACAAAAGCAUUGAACAAAAGCAACAAAAGGAAGUUUAAAGCACAUUUACAACACAGAGGUAAGUCUUCAGACUCUUUACAGAUUAACAAGACCAAAUUUUCCAAAAGACUGAAAACUAAGAUUCGGAUACGGUUCUACUCCUAGAGGCUGAAAUGUGUAAUGUAAUACUACGCAUUAGCAGCCCAUUGUGUUUGUCCAUCUUUCGGUGUUACUUCUAUCCUAGCAAAGCAGGAUGCCACCGUUGUGUUUCCCUGACUAGCUAUACCCGUCAGAAUUCUACCCCAAUAUCUCCCAUUAGCUGCAAAACUAAACCCUUUGCACAGCAACAGUACAGCAUGCUCACACAGAAGUAACACCGACAGCACCACAAGAAGUAGCACCUUGAUUGGCCAAGAAGCGGACAACAACACAGGUAAUAUUGUCUGCACUGCCUCUCUGGUAUGCCUCCUGCAACAACCUCUUUGCUGCCUGCUCUGGGUCAUCGACUGGCUUGGUCAUGUCAACAGCUUCCUCAUUGGUGACAACAUCCCAUAAUCCAUCACUUGCAA